AAUUGGUGCAGGCACGGACAUUGCAAUAGAGGCAGCUGAUAUUGUCCUGAUGAAGAGUAAUUUGGAGGAUGUGAUAACUGCUAUAGACUUGUCGAGGAAAACUUUUUCGCGUAUUCGUCUGAACUACAUUUGGGCUCUGGGUUAUAACCUUUUAGGCAUACCAGUUGCUGCAGGAGCCCUUUUCCCGACUACCGGAUUCCGCUUACCUCCAUGGAUUGCUGGAGCUGCAAUGGCAGCCUCUUCAGUCAGUGUUGUUUGCUGCUCUCUGUUGCUGAAAUAUUACAAGAGGCCUAAGAAGCUGAAUAAUCUUGAGAUUCGUGGAAUUAUGAUAGAGUGAUUUAUGAUGAUGGUUCUUGAUUUAGUGCCCUGUAAUGUACAUAUAUGUUAAGGUGAAAAACACCCUUGAAAUAAGUUAGCCAUCUUGUUUGUAAUGACGAUCUUGGUUAGAGCCGAUGCCCAAUCCCAAUGAGGUUCAACUGCUCCCAAACAUUUUAUUGGUUAAAAUUAAUACUAAGUCCACAAUUAAUCCUAUGCAAAACCACACACCAAACACACCCUAAAUGAAUUUGUGGUUGGUAUACUCAAGUUGUAGUUUCUUUCGUAAUCGUCUCUUUUGAUUCUCUCUUUCUCAUUGCAAGACGGUUGGUUGCUUCGGCCCAAUUUCCAAAGACGAAACAGGCUUGUCAUAUGGUAGAUUUCAAUUUUAAGAAGGAUAUAUAUAUAUAUAUAUAUAAAGUUGGGACUUGAGGAGGAGAUGUGGCAUCAUCAUUUUUUAUCUUUGUAUAUUCUCUAUUAUCUAAUAAAUAGAGAAAUUUUCUUUUAAAUUUGAUUUUUCAUCUUCUCAUAAUUAAUUUGAUUGUUAUUACACAAUAACAAUUAUGUAAAUAUUUUAAUGAGGCAUAUUCUUUGUAAUGAACAUCCAAGGGUGUUAUGAAUUUAUUAAAAUAAAUGUAGAUGUCAUAACAUAUAUCUUUUAGUCUGCCUACUAUCUCCCAUUAGCAACUUUUAGUUUCCCUAUAACUCCCAUUAUCUCACAAGGAAUUAUGAUCCAUAAUUUUUCAUUAAUUUCAUGGAGUAAUUAUGUAACUAUAAAAGGAGAGCUCAGCUUUUGUUUUGUACACACACAAUUGGAAUAAAUAAAAUCAUUGUAUAAUAUAUUCUCUCAUUUUAUUCUUUAUCUUGCGUUGCUUCUUUAUUUGUAUUGUUGGCUAAUAACUUUUUUUAUUUUUUAUAAGGCUGCCUCAUUUUAAAAAAAAUCAAUUCAUAUUUUUUUAUCAGUUUCAUCAAGUGUAAAGUAAGAAAAAAGGAUAAUACUAAAUUUUUUUUUCAAAACCGUGUGAAACGCGGUUCUAUUUUCUAGUUAAAUAUAUAAAGUAAGUUGUGAGGCAAAUUCAGUUGCAAUUAAAAGAUACAAUAGUAAUAAAUUCUCUUCAUUCUAACGUUUUUAUUCCUCCACACCUUUAAAAAAAAAAUCAUGGGGAAUAUUGCAAAAAAAAGUAAUUAAUUAAUUUUAAAAUUAUUAAAUUAAUUUAAUUUUUAAAUUAUAAUAACAAGUGUUUAUCAAAUAUUUUAAUAUUAUAAUUUUUAAAUUACAAUUUUCUAAUUUUAAUAUCAGAUCUAUAUCAUACGAAUAUUACAUUAUUGUGGAAAAAAAAAAGAAAAAGAAAAGAGGGAGAGAAUGAGAGAUAGUAAAAAAGGUUGAACUAUCAUGACGCAUCAAAAUUGGCGAUCAUGUUGGACUUUCAAAUCAACACUCUGUCGUCGAAUCAUCAUGAGCUUUCAUUCCUUCUGCCGUGACGCCAAAUUCUAAUUUGCAAAGGAAAGAAAAGGGUAUUUGUAAUACAAUGAUACAAUGGCCCCCACUCCCCAGCCCCAUGAGAUUAAAAAUAAUGGCUUUUUUUUUUUAACUGAUUAUGACAAUUAAAUUAUCACUCAUAUUUAUAUGAGAUUAUUGUUAAAAAUAAUUUAUAUACAUUCUUAUAAAAUAUUGUUCAUAUUUUUUAUUAUUUUUAAGGACUCAACUAUUUUAAAACAGUUGUAAGGUACCACCUGAUUUUAUUUUUUAUGGUUUCAAUUCUUGAUCAUUGCAUUUAAUGCAAAGAUACAUACAAAGGUAAAGUUUCAUUUAUUUAAAUAUUAACAUUAUGCUCUCUAUUAUUGAUUAAAAACACAAAAGUGAUAAAAAUUAAAAUUUUUAGCACAUAAGUCCAAAUUAUUUAAAUUUUAUGUUGUUUAAUUAGUAGUAAGUCUUAAAAAAUAAAAUUUAUUUUAAUAUUAUAUAUUUUAUUUAAAAAAUUAGUUUUAAUAUUAUUUAUUUAUUAAAAAAUAUUAUUUAAUAUUAAUUAUUCUCAUUUCAUUUAAUAUUCUGCUGUACCGCNNNNNNNNNNNNNNNNNNNNNNNNNNNNNNNNNNNNNNNNNNNNNNNNNNNNNNNNNNNNNNNNNNNNNNNNNNNNNNNNNNNNNNNNNNNNNNNNNNNNNNNNNNNNNNNNNNNNNNNNNNNNNNNNNNNNNNNNNNNNNNNNNNNNNNNNNNNNNNNNNNNNNNNNNNNNNNNNNNNNNNNNNNNNNNNNNNNNNNNNNNNNNNNNNNNNNNNNNNNNNNNNNNNNNNNNNNNNNNNNNNNNNNNNNNNNNNNNNNNNNNNNNNNNNNNNNNNNNNNNNNNNNNNNNNNNNNNNNNNNNNNNNNNNNNNNNNNNNNNNNNNNNNNNNNNNNNNNNNNNNNNNNNNNNNNNNNNNNNNNNNNNNNNNNNNNNNNNNNNNNNNNNNNNNNNNNNNNNNNNNNNNNNNNNNNNNNNNNNNNNNNNNNNNNNNNNNNNNNNNNNNNNNNNNNNNNNNNNNNNNNNNNNNNNNNNNNNNNNNNNNNNNNNNNNNNNNNNNNNNNNNNNNNNNNNNNNNNNNNNNNNNNNNNNNNNNNNNCCGUACAGCAGAGAAUAUAUUUUUGAUAUUUUUAUUUUAUUAAAAAUAUUAGUUAAUAUUAUCUAGUCAUAGGCUUAUUGUUAUAUUUAUUCUUUUAGAAGUUAAAUAAUAUUAAAUGAAAUAAAAUUACAUUUUAAUAUAUCACCAGCCAAACCACAUAAACUUAUCAAUAAAUUGUAAAUAAAAAAGUAAAUAAUAUUAAAUAAAAUAAAAUUACAUUUUAAAAAGUCGUCUGCUAAAACACAUAAUGUUAUAGAGACAUUGUAAAUAAAAAGAAAGAGAAGGGGUUUAAAGAAAUUUGACAUCACAAAAGACAAAAAUAGUGACACCUUCGCAACAUAGGCGGACCCCCCGCAUAGGAUAUAUAUUUUGCAGACGACGUUGGAAGGUUGUUGAAAAUAUAUACUAAUGGCGACCAAGUUGUUGGCAUUAGCGUGCAUAAGAAACGAGAGUGAUGGGAACUUGUCGCCGAGGCCACACUACCCGUCGAUGCCAAAGUACCCGAAAGGAGUGUCGGCUGAAGAGACAGCGAACGUGGAGAGCUCGAUGUCAAAGGCGAAGGCUGCGUAUUCUGUGAUGGGUAUGACUUGCUCCGCCUGCGCUGGAUCCGUCGAGAAAGCCAUCAAACGACUUCCCGGAAUACACGACGCUGUCGUCGAUGUCUUGAAUAAUAGAGCUCUUGUCUUCUUCUACCCGUCCUUUGUUAACGUAAGUUCUUACGUUACUCUUUUUAUUUUUUAUUAAUAUAUAGCGUAGCAAGCGUUUAAUAUUUAAUAUAUAAUUCCAAUUUUCUUUUGUUUAUUUGUUAUAUAAUUAAUUACAAACUAUAUACAUACAGUAUAAUGAUUCAACGUCUUGUUAAACCCGGAUAGGUAUCAGAAUUCUUUUAUUUGAUUACUAAGCUGGCAGUUGCUUCUUUUUUUGGGUUUGUAUUCUUCUGCUUGUGCCAUGAACAAAUGUUUUAAACAACUUGUUUGGUAUACUUUGUUUCUGUAAUACGGAUUUUUCUUUUAAUGAAAAAGAUAAGACUCAUUGUAAAUUCUAUUUCUUAUGAAUUUUCCAGAACUGGUCCUGAAUUCCUUUGCUUUUGAGUCACUGGUUAGCGAUUUAGCAUCAGCUUGCUUUUUCUUCCUUUUUGUCCAAUUUGGUGCUUUACUUUGCCUUCGCAGUUAGUUGAGGACAAUUGAGAGAUACGAUAUGUCUGCCAUCACCAUUAUCAGAAUAUCACCAUCUGUGCCCUUGAUUAUGGCAAACAUAUAAUAUAUUUUAGACAAUAGUCAAUGGGUGGAUUUGGGCAUGUAGAUUUUAAAUCAUCAUUGACUAUGGGCCUCAGGCUAUAUAUGCUCGAGCUGAAUAUCGAACCUCAAGCUCAGUACUUUUAAUUUGCCAUUGACAUCAAUAACGCGUGGUUAGUUACAUCUUUAUGUUCUCAUCACAGGAGGAGACAAUUCGUGAGACCAUUGAGGAUGUUGGAUUUCAAGCAACAUUAAUCCAAGAUGAAACAUCUGAUAAAUCAACUCAACUAUGUCGUAUUGGAAUCAACGGAAUGACAUGCACUACUUGCUCCACAACUGUUGAGAAAGCUUUGCAAGCAAUUCCUGGUGUCCAAAAUGUCCGAGUGGCCUUAGCUACUGAAGCAGCAGAAGUACACUAUGAUCCGAAAAUUCUAAACUACAAUCAGAUUUUGGCAGCUAUUGAGGAUACAGGAUUUGAAGCCACACUAAUCAGCACAGGAGAAGAUAUGAGUAAAAUUCAUCUUCAGGUUGAUGGCAUAAGGACUGAUCAUUCCAUGAGAAUGAUUGAAAAUUCACUCCAGGCACUUCCUGGAGUUCACGGCAUUGGAGUGGAUUCUGGAGUACAUAAGAUUGCCAUUUCUUACAAGCCAGAUAUGACAGGACCCAGAAACUUUAUGAAAGCCAUAGAAUCAACUGGUUCCGGCCGUUUUAAGGCCAGGAUCAUUCCUGAAGGUGGAGGAGGAAGAGAAAAUCUGAAACAGGAAGAAAUUAAGCAAUAUUAUAGAUCCUUCCUUUGGAGUUUGGUUUUUACAAUUCCCCUUUUUUUAACCUCCAUGGUCUUCAUGUAUAUCCCAGGAAUCAAGCGUGGCCUGGAUACCAAAAUAGUCAAUAUGCUUACCACUGGAGAGAUUAUAAGGUGGGUGCUAUCAACUCCUGUGCAGUUCAUUAUAGGCAGAAGAUUCUACACCGGUUCUUACAAAGCAUUGCGCCAUGGUUCUGCGAAUCUGGAUGUUUUGAUUUCCCUGGGAACUAAUGCAGCUUACUUCUAUUCAAUGUACUCUGUAUUAAGAGCUGCUACUUCUCCGCACUUUGAAGGUACAGAUUUUUUUGAGACUAGUUCAAUGCUUAUAUCCUUUAUUCUGCUUGGAAAAUAUCUGGAGGUUCUCGCCAAGGGAAAGACAUCUGAGGCAAUUGCCAAGCUCAUGGACUUAGCACCUGAAACAGCAACUUUGCUGACUUUAGACGAGGAUGGCAAUGUGAUAAGCGAAGAAGAAAUAGAUAGUAGGUUGAUUCAGAGGAAUGAUGUAAUUAAAAUUAUUCCUGGUGCAAAAGUAGCUUCAGAUGGUUACGUUUUGUGGGGACAGAGCCAUGUAAAUGAGAGUAUGAUAACUGGAGAGGCAAGGCCAGUGGCUAAGAGGAAGGGUUAUACAGUAAUUGGUGGCACUGUGAAUGAGAAUGGGGUGCUACAUAUUAAGGCAACAAGGGUUGGAUCAGAGAGUGCUCUUGCUCAAAUUGUUCGACUUGUUGAAUCAGCUCAGAUGGCUAAGGCUCCAGUUCAGAAGUUCGCUGAUCGUAUUUCAAAAUACUUUGUGCCUCUGGUAAGUAUACAAUAAGAUUCACCAUGUUUUGCAUUUGUUCUAUAGAUACUUAAGAGUCUUAAGAAAAUGUAUGGUUUCUUGCUAAUAAAACAGUUUCUUUUAGGUCAUCAUCCUAUCAUUUUCGACAUGGCUUGCUUGGUUUUUAGCUGGAAAGUUCCAUAGCUACCCGGAAUCCUGGAUACCAUCUUCGAUGGAUAGCUUUCAGCUUGCACUACAGUUUGGAAUCUCUGUUAUGGUCAUAGCGUGUCCAUGUGCGCUAGGCCUAGCGACUCCAACUGCUGUAAUGGUUGGAACUGGAGUUGGGGCAUCUCAAGGAGUACUGAUUAAAGGGGGUCAGGCCUUGGAAAGUGCACAUAAGGUUAGCAUAUGCUGUCAUGUUGCUCUUUGCUACUUGCUACGCAUACAAUGACUGGAAUCGGUUUCUUAUGGUUGUGUAUGACAAUCUUGUAGGUGAAUUGCAUUGUGUUUGACAAAACUGGAACUCUGACAGUUGGAAAGCCAGUAGUUGUCAGCACAAAGCUUUUGAAAAAUAUGGUACUGAGAGACUUCUAUGAAGUUGUUGCUGCAACUGAGGUAUGAUUUAUUUUCUGUGGAAAUCUUAGCCUUUUAAGAGAGUCCGUCAAGGUUGUAGUUGCUUAUGAUAUAACUAAUGAUAAUAUUUGUUGCGAUCUAUCUACUAGGUUAACAGUGAGCACCCAUUGGCGAAGGCUAUUGUUGAAUAUGCCAAGAAGUUCAGAGAAGAUGAAGACAAUCCUCUCUGGCCAGAAGCACAUGAUUUUAUCUCCAUCACUGGCCAUGGAGUUAAAGCCACGGUUCAUAACAAGGAAAUAAUGGUGGGAAACAAGAGCUUGAUGUUGGAUAAUAACAUUGACAUACCACCUGAUGCUGAAGAAAUGCUAGCAGAAACAGAGGGAAUGGCUCAAACCGGGAUCUUAGUAUCUAUUGACGGGGAAUUGACUGGAGUUUUAGCCAUAUCCGAUCCACUGAAACCAGGUGCUCAUGAAGUCAUUUCCAUUCUAAAGUCGAUGCAAGUGAGAAGCAUCGUGGUGACAGGCGACAACUGGGGAACUGCCAAAUCCAUUGCCAAUGAAGUUGGAAUUGAAGAUGUUAUAGCUGAAGCCAAACCUGAACAGAAAGCAGAGAAAGUGAAGGAGUUACAGGUACAAUGCAAAUUAUCUGCAUCUCAUAUAUGCAUGUUUCGCACUUGUAUCGAUUACAUACAAGAUUCAUUAUCUUGUUGACAGGCUUUAGGAUAUACUGUGGCAAUGGUGGGAGAUGGCAUCAAUGACUCGCCAGCACUUGUAGCAGCAGAUGUUGGAAUGGCAAUUGGUGCAGGCACGGACAUUGCAAUAGAGGCAGCUGAUAUUGUCCUGAUGAAGAGUAAUUUGGAGGAUGUGAUAACUGCUAUAGACUUGUCGAGGAAAACUUUUUCGCGUAUUCGUCUGAACUACAUUUGGGCUCUGGGUUAUAACCUUUUAGGCAUACCAAUUGCUGCGGGAGCCCUUUUCCCGACUACUGGAUUCCGUUUACCUCCAUGGAUUGCUGGAGCUGCAAUGGCAGCCUCUUCAGUUAGUGUUGUUUGCUGCUCUCUGUUGCUGAAGAAUUACAAGAGGCCUAAGAAGCUGAAUAAUCUUGAGAUUCGUGAAAUUUGUUGGAAAAAUAGCAAAUCAAUAUGUUAUUUUGAGGGCACAUUUUGAGUGGGUCCCACUUAGCGAAAGUGGGAAAUAUUGUGAAGUUCGGGUUCUACUCCGUGAAUACUUCGAAAAUGUAUAUUUAUUUACUCAAAAUGGUGCUUGGGUGAAUGAGAAAUUGUCUCUCAAAGUGUACCCUUGAAGUUGAAAAUUUGAAAGAAAAUGAGAUUUAUCCCAUAAGGGAAAAAUAAGCUAAGGGAUUUGUGUUUAUAUAUUGACACUUAUCAUGCAUGAGCAAGAAUCUCACGCGCACAGAGGGGUGCGAAUCCAAGACCGAUUUGGUUGAAUUCGUGUGUGCCCGUGUUUUUAAUUUCUUUUUUAAGUUUUUUGUAUCAGUUUUACAAUUUUUGAAUUCAAAGGAUUUGUAACCAAGUUCACAAUUUUUUUUUGGGUUGUUAUGCAAUUCAAUUUUUGAAUUCAAUUGGCUGAAUUGAAUUUAAACAAUUCAAUUGGCUGUUACAACAAUUAAAUGGCAUAUAUUGAAUUUGAAAAUUCAAUACUUUGCUAUUGUUAAAUCCUCACGUGUAUAAAAAGGCAGCUUACUCUUCUGUUUUACACACACAGAAACCAGCACACAGAGCACUUAAAAUUUUCUUUCCUCAUUCUUACGUCUGAUUUUCUGAUUGAGUUUGCCGCUGUUGUGGUUCGCCGGAAUUAUUUGUCUGCGCUUGACGGAUAAUUCGUGCUCGUUGUAUCCUGGGAAACAGUUACCAGCAAACCUAAAGCACUGCAGUAGGUGGUAAAUAUGUUUUAAGGACACUGUGUUACAGGCCUCGGGUUUAGUGUUACAGGCCUCGCACUGCAGUAGGUGGUAAAUAUGUUUUAAGGACACUGUGUUACAGGCCUCGGGUUUAUUUUCUUUGUUUUGUUUGAUUUCCAGUUAUUGUUUUUUGCUGCUGUUUAAUUUUAAUUGUUGUCUUGCUGCAGUUUAAUCUGUUAUCAAUUAAUUCCGUGUAAUUAGCUACUGGUUUUAUUUGUUAACUCACUGUUGUUAUUUUACUAACAGAAUUAUGAUAGAGUGAUUUAUGAUGAUGGUUCUUGAUUUAGUGCCCUGUAAUGUACAUAUAUGUUAAGGUGAAAAACACCCUUGAAAUAAGUUAGCCAUCUUAUUCGUAAUGACGAUCUUGGUUAGAGUGGCAGUUUAUGUACAGUCAUUCGGUUUGUUUAUGUAGGACUGUUUAAUGCUAAAUGAAUUUGUGGUUUUUUAUACUCAAGUUGUCGUUUCUUUCGUAAUAGUCUCUUUUGAUCCUCUCUUUUGAUUCUCUCUUUCUCAUUGCAAGACGGUUGGCUGCUUCGGCCCAAUUUUCGAAGACGAAACAGGCUUCAUAUGGUAGAUUUCAAUUUUAGGAAGGAUUAAAUAUAUAAAGUUGUGAGGCAAAUUCAGUUGCAAUAAAAAGUUACAAUAAUACCAACAAAGUGUUGGCUCUACUGGCAAUGGAGUCUCCUUAAGUGGUUUGAUUGGGUUUACUUCCCAGUUCGAGUCGCAGGGAAGUCACCUUUGUUGGGAGAAUCUGUGCCUCCCGAUUCGAGCGGGGACUUCUAAUCUGAGUUGUGGUACGAGCUUAAAGGUGUCUCCCAUAGUUGGGACCCUCCCCAAAAUAUCUCGUGGAUAAGACAAAAAAAAAAGUUACAAUAAUAAUAAAUUCUCUUCAUUUUAAUGUUUUUAUUUCCCCACAUCUUUUAAAAAAAAUCAUGGGGGAUAUCGCAAAAAAAAAAAAAAAGAGUAACUCUGUCGACGAAUCAUCAUGAGCUUUCAUUCCUCUGUCGUCGAAUCAAAAUUGGCGAUCAUGUUGGACUUUCAAAUCAACACUCUGUCGUGGAAUCAUCAUGAGCUUGCAUUACUUCUGCCCUGACGCCAAAUUCUAAUUUACAAAGGAAAGAAAAGGGUAUUCGUAAUGCAAUGAUACGAUGGCCCCCACUCCCCAACCGCACGAGAUUAAAAAUAAUGGUUUUUUUUUUAUAAGUUGAUUAUGAUAAUAAAUUAUCACUUAUAUUAUAUGAGAUUAUUAUUAAUAUUUAUAAUUAAAUUAUCAUUUAUUUUUACAUAAGACUAUUACUGAAACUAAUUUAUAUAUAUUUUAUAUGAAACACUGUCCAUAUUUUUUUAUUAUUUAUAAUAUUUGAGAGAUGUCUACUCCACACACAUUGAUAAGAAAAAAAGACUGACUUUCAAUCAAUUAUAAGUUAUAAUUGGUGAAGGUAGCAACCCAGCUACUCGACGAAUGGUCGAGUGACCCAAUGGCUUUCUUGUUAAGCCUCACUGCCCAACAAAUUUUCAUUUCCAAAUUUAUCCCAUCAUCAAUUUAUGAGUGGAGCUUGCAACGCCCUCAAGAAAUUUUAUUUUUUGUUUUUAUAUUAUUUUUUAUAAAAUAAAAAAUAAAUAUAGGAUUACAAUGAAAAUUUUAAUUUAAUUUUACUAUUAUUUAGAAUGUAUUUAAUUAAGUUAUAAAAAAUAUUUUUUUUAAUAGAACUAUUAUUAAGUAAUUUACUUCUUUAUUAUUUCAAAAUUAUUUUGAUUUUAUCUAUAAAUUAAUUAUAUCAUAUAUGAGGAUUAAAAAAUAUUUAAGGGUUCAUAAUUUCUAAAUAUAUCUCAGUUUAGUUAAAUUCAUAUUUUUCCUUUUAUGUAAAGUGUCAUUUUUAUUUUAAAUAGAUGAUAUUUAGAUAAAGUCGUAAAACAUUGGUAGAAAAGUGAUAAAAUCAAUGCCAACCUAAUCUUUAUCAGUAAGGUGAAUUUUUUAUUUCUAAGGGUUGGCGUCACAGAGCAAAAUGGCAUGGUCGCAUUUGGAGCAUGAUGGGUAGGGAUGUCAAAAAUUCCCACAGAGAUGGAGGCUUUAAGGAAAAUUUAUGAAUACAUUUAAAAUUUAAUUUGUAAUUGUGUAAAUAACAACAACAACAACACCAAUAAUAAUAACAUCUAAUAUAAACACUUCAAGAUUGUCGAAGAUAACUUUGCUGAUAAUUUAUACAAUGUAACUUUUAUGGAUUUGUUUAACAUUGAAAUUCUAUUUUUGUUUAAUUUCAUAGACUGUAUUGUAAUUUUGAUGAUAUGAACUUAGUUUGUUGGAAAUAAUUUUAAUUUUUUAAAUUUAUUUUUAUACUUUUGUGUUGCUAGUACGAUUUUAUACUUUUACAAAAUAAUAUAAUUAAAUUAAGUUUAGAAAAUAAAGUUUCAGUUAUUAAAAGAUUGCGUAUUCUCGGUGAUCCCCUCUUGUCCCCUCAAAUAAUUUUAAAGAGGACGGAAAGGUAGGAGGAUCCCUAAUGAUGUGUAUUAUAUAGUGGAAAAUUCAAUCAUAAACUUGAAGGAGGUUGUUUAUAUUUUUUAAAUGGAGCCAUCAUCACUCAUGCAUAUUAUAAAUAUAUUUUGUCUCGGGUUUGGUGGAGAUGAUAUAAUAAAGUUCAGAAGCAGUAUGCUAGCUUUUUAUAUACAAUAUUUGUCUGACCAUGGGGAUUCUUUCAGCAUAAACAGCGAGCGUUUAGUAAACGUAGUAUAUUAAAAUUUAAAGUUUCAGUCUGUACCUUAAUUACAUUUAUAUUUAAAAGAAGAGUGUGGUGGUGGAUCGAUCGAACCUAGAGAAGUUUAUUAAUUCCACAAAAACUAAAGCACAAUCAGACUCUCCACGUACUGUUUGACGAGAUUGAGUUAUUUAUUUUAGUUUAAGAAUUUGCUUGUGUUAGUGUGUUACAGCGCUGCAUGUCACAAAACAUACGGUCUCUCCCAAUAUUAAUAAACUUUUUUAUAAUUUUAAAAGCAGACAGCACACGAUACGUCUUUGUUAUAUAUGCAAGGAGAAGAAAAGAAAAGAAAGAAAUUAAGCAAGUUACAAGUGAUAUAUCAUGUAAUAUUAAUAGGUGCGGUAAUGGCGACCAGCAAGUUGCUGGCAUUGGCUUGUAUACGAAACGAGAGUAGUAGUUAUAGGGACUUGUUGACAUCGACACCCAAGUACCCGAAAGUUGUGUCGGGUCCGGUAAAGUCCUGCAGCAGAGCAAUAUUAUUAUCGGUGAAGGGAAUGACUUGCUCGGCCUGUGCAGUGUCCAUCGAGAAAGCCAUCAAACGCCUUCCUGGAAUACACGACGCCGUCGUUGAUGUCUUGAAUAACAGGGCUCAAGUGUUGGGGAGGCACCCUCCCCAAGAUACCUCGUGAUUAAUGUGCAAGUUUUUUUUUUUUUUUUUUUAAUAUCGUCAAGGAGGAGACAAUUCUUAAGGCAAUUGAGGAUGUUGGAUUUAAAGCAACGCUCGUCCCUGGGGAAAAAAUUGAGAAAUCUACUCAAGUAUGUCGAAUACGCAUUAAUAAACGAGCAUGCACUUCAUGCUCCUCGACUGUUGAAAAAACUUUUCAAGCAAUUCAGGGUGUACAGAAUGCCCAUGUCACCUUAGCUACUGAAGAAGCAGAAGUUCACUACGAUCCGAGAAUUCUGAGCUACAAUCAGCUUUUGAAAGCUAUUGAAGAUACAGGAUUUGAAGCCAUACCAAUCAGCACAGGAGAAGAUAUCGUAAGCAAGAUCCAUCUUCACCUUGAUGGCCUAUAUACUGAUCAUUCAGUGACAAUGAUUGAAAGUUCUCUUCAAGCGCUCCCCGGCGUUCUUGACAUUGACUUGGAUCCUAGCAUACAUAAAAUUUCCAUUUCUUACAAGCCAGCCAUGACAGGACCCAGAAACUUUAUAAAAAUGAUAGAAUCAACUGCUUCUGGGCAUUUUAAGGCCAGAAUAUUUCCUGAAGGUGAAGGAAGAGAAGCACAGAAACAGGCAGAGAUUAAGAAAUACUACAGAUCAUUUCUAUGGAGUUUGGCUUUUACCAUUCCUGUUUUUUUAACCUCCAUGGUCUUCAUGUAUAUCCCAGGUAUCAAGAAUGUACUGGAUACCAAAAUAGUUAAUAUGCUUACUAUUGGAGAGAUUAUAAGGUGGGUGCUAUCAACUCCUGUGCAGUUCAUUGUAGGCAGAAGAUUCUACACCGGUUCUUACAAAGCUCUGCGCAUUGGUUCUCCUAAUAUGGAUGUUUUGAUUGCCCUGGGAACUAAUGCAGCUUACUUUUAUUCGGUUUACUCAGUGUUGAGAGCAGCUCUUUCUCCAUAUUUUAUAGGUAAAGAUUUUUUCGAGACUACUUCAAUGCUUAUAUCCUUUAUUCUGCUUGGAAAUACCUAGAAGUUCUGGCCAAGGGAAAGACAUCUGAGGCUAUUGCCAAGCUUUUGGACUUGGCACCCGAAACAGCGACACUGCUGACUAUGGAUGAGGAAGGCAAUGUGAUAAGCGAAGAAGAAAUUGAUAGUCGAUUGAUACAAAGGAAUGAUGUAAUUAAAAUUAUUCCUGGUGCAAAAGUAGCUUCAGAUGGUUAUGUUUUGUGGGGAAAAAGCUAUGUGAAUGAGAGUAUGAUAACUGGAGAAGCGAGGCCAGUGGCCAAGAGGGAGGGUGAUACAGUAACCGGUGGCACUUUGAAUGAGAAUGGGGUGUUACAUAUUAAGGCAACAAGGGUUGGACCACAGAGUGCUCUUGCUCAAAUUGUUCGACUUGUCGAAUCAGCUCAGAUGGCUAAGGCUCCAGUUCAAAAGUUCGCUGAUCGCGCUUCCAAAUACUUUGUGCCUCUGGUAAUUUUACAACAUAAUUGUUCUAGGUUCUGCAUUUUUCUAUGAAUACGUUGAGGAAUCUAAAGUAAAUUUCCAGUUUUUUAUUAAUGAAUAUCUCUGUUCGUUCUGAGGUCAUCAUCUUGUCAUUUUCAACAUGGCUUGCUUGGUAUUUGGCUGGAAAUUUCCAUGGCUACCCAGAAUCCUGGAUACCAUCUUCAAUGGAUAGCUUUGAGCUUGCACUACAGUUUGGAAUCUCUGUCAUAGUCAUAGCGUGUCCAUGUGCUCUGGGCCUAGCAACUCCGACUGCUGUAAUGGUUGGUACUGGAGUUGGUGCAUCUCAGGGAGUACUGAUUAAAGGGGGACAAGCACUUGAAAGUACCCAUAAGGUUAGCAAUGCCCUUAAUGUUGCUGUUUAAUACUAGUUUAUUCUUAUUUAUUUAUUUAUUCAAAAAGACUUGAAUUGAUAACCAACUGCUCUGUUAAAAAUAAUGUAGGUGAAUUGCAUUGUGUUUGACAAAACAGGAACUAUGACAAUUGGAAAGCCGGUCGUUGUUAGUACAAAACUUUUGAAAAAUAUGGUACUAAGAGACUUCUAUGAACUUGUUGCAGCAACUGAGGUUUUUUUUUUUUUUCGGUUUUUUUUUUCUGUGGAGAUAUUGUUCUUUUAAGAGAGCUGGUCAUAGUCAUUAUUGCUUAUAAUGAAUUGACUAUUGAUACCAUUUGUUGCAAUUCAUCUUCUACGCUAACAGUGAGCAUCCAUUAGCCAAGGCUAUCAUUGAAUAUGCUAAUAAGUUUAGAGAAGAUGAAGAGAAUCAUAUGUGGCCAGAAGCUCAAGAUUUUGUCUCCAUAACUGGCCAUGGAGUGAAAGCCAUCGUGCGAAACAAGGAGAUAAUGGUCGGAAAUAAGAGCUUGAUGUUGGAUAAUAACAUUGACAUACCACCUGAUACUGAAGAAAUGCUAACCGAAACUGAAGGAAUGGCUCAAACUGAGAUCCUAGUAUCUGUAGACGGGGAAUUGACUGGAGUUUUAUCCAUAUCUGAUCCAUUGAAACCAGGUGCUCAUGGGGUCAUUUCCAUUCUAAAGUCAAUGCAAAUAAGGAGCAUCUUGGUGACAGGUGACAAUUGGGGAACUGCCAAAUCUAUUGCAAGCGAAGUUGGAAUUGAAACUGUUAUAGCUGAAGCCAAACCUGAACAGAAAGCGGAGAAAGUCGAGGAGUUACAGGUAUAAUGCAAAUUACUCCGUUUCAUUUAUGUAUGUUUUAUGUUUGUUCCAUUACAUUGAAGAAUCAUUAUCCUGUUCACAGGCUUCAGGAUAUACCGUGGCAAUGGUGGGAGAUGGCAUCAAUGACUCACCAGCACUUGUAGCAGCAGAUGUCGGAAUGGCAAUUGGUGCUGGCACAGACAUUGCCAUAGAGGCGGCUGAUAUUGUCCUAAUGAAGAGUAACUUGGAGGACGAGAUUACCGCCAUUGACUUGUCGAGGAAAACCUUUUCGCGUAUUCGCAUCAACUACAUUUGGGCUUUGGGUUAUAACCUUCUUGGCAUAACAAUUGCUGCAGGAGCCAUUUUCCCGACUACUAGAUUCCGCUUACCACCAUGGAUCGCUGGAGCUGCAAUGGCAACGUCUUCAGUUAGUGUGGUUUG
rnacentral:lncRNA from 1 species